rnacentral:rRNA from 1 species
GACGAACGCUGGCGGCGUGCUUAACACAUGCAAGUCGAACGGAAAGGCCCUGCUUUUGUGGGGUGCUCGAGUGGCGAACGGGUGAGUAACACGUGAGUAACCUGCCCUUGACUUUGGGAUAACUUCAGGAAACUGGGGCUAAUACCGGAUAGGAGCUCCUGCUGCAUGGUGGGGGUUGGAAAGUUUCGGCGGUUGGGGAUGGACUCGCGGCUUAUCAGCUUGUUGGUGGGGUGGUGGAUUACCAGGGCUUUGACGGGUAGCCGGCCUGCGAGGGUGACCGGCCACAUUGGGACUGAGGUAGGGCCCAGACUGCUACGGGAGGCAGCAGUGGGGAAUAUUGCACAAUGGGCGGAAGCCGUAUGCAGCAACGCCGCGUGCGGGAUGACGGCCUUUGGGUUGUAACCCGCUUUCGCCUGUGACGAAGCGUGAGUGACGGUAAUGGGUAAAGAAGCACCGGCUAACUACGUG